UACGGAGGGGGGCUAGCGUUGUUCGGAAUUACUGGGCGUAAAGAGCGUGUAGGCGGCCCGGUAAGUCGGCUGUGAAAGUCCAGGGCUCAACCCUGGGAUGCCGGUCGAUACUGCCGGACUAGAGUCCGGAAGAGGUGAGUGGAAUUCCGAGUGUAGAGGUGAAAUUCGUAGAUAUUCGGAGGAACACCAGUGGCGAAGGCGGCUCACUGGUCCGGUACUGACGCUGAGGUGCGAAAGCGUGGGGAGCAAACAGGG
rnacentral:rRNA from 1 species